UACAGAGGGUGCAAGCGUUAAUCGGAAUUACUGGGCGUAAAGCGUGCGUAGUCGGUCAUCUAAGUCGGAUGUGAAAUCCCCGGGCUCAACCUGGGAAUUGCAUUCGAUACUGGAUGGCUAGAGUUCGGCAGAGGGAAGUGGAAUUUCCGGUGUAGCGGUGAAAUGCGUAGAUAUCGGAAGGAACAUCAGUGGCGAAAGCGACUUCCUGGACCAGAACUGACGAUCAGGCACGAAAGCGUGGGGAGCAAACAGG
rnacentral:rRNA from 1 species